CAUAACGAGAAGAAUGAUGGCAAGAAAGAGUGAGGCUUUAUGUGUCGUAGGUGGGCCCAGACCUAACCCAGACUGUCCCAAGAGCGCUCGGAUGGCUUCCUAUAUGCAGGCAGCCUGUUCACUUGCCGUAAAGCAAAAUGACAAAUGCCGCUGUGAGCGCUCCCCGAAGUGCGACGACCUUCGCGCUGCGAAGAACUAGGAUAAACCAGUGGUCUACGUAUCUCUUUGGACGUAAAGUAAGCUAAUCCGGUUGCGGAUCAUGUUUGCAGCCCCUUUAAAUGAUACUGAUACGCCUUAGUCGCGAAAGUCGCAUGUUCCGAGAUCCAGACAGUUUCUUCAUCUGUUUAUUUAGGAAUUCUGAUCGAACGAGUUUAACAAUUUAUCUAAUUGUGCUUCAUAAGUUCAUUUAAAUUGAUAAAAAGAUUAAGAAUUUUAAUUCUAUAAUAAAAGAAUAUUACCUUCAAUGAUAAGCUUUUAAUUUUAUUAUCAUUAUUAUUUGUUUGUGCCAUGACAUGUGUGCAGGUUAGUUUUUAAUGAUAAUUAAAGAUUUUGAAUGAGAUGCGAUAACUAUUCGAUUAUACUUUUGGGAAAUUUUGAGAAUUAAUCAGUCUCUGAGGGUAAAAUGUAAUUGAAAAUAGGCUAUUAAACCUCGGGCAGAUGCUCGUCCAAGUUAUUUCCCCGUGCACGCAGGUGUUUCUACAAUUGUCCCUAGUAGUUUUACCCUCCUAUUAGACAUGAAACACAUUCCCCAGCAUCGACUUUGUGAUUCCAUCCUUGUUAAAUGCUAUAAUUUCUCUUGGAUAUUAUUUGGAAAGGGAAAUUACGAAGUUAAAACAAUGAAUUGAAUUAUUAAUAUUCUAGAAAUGUUUCUUUCGUCUAUUUCGAUGAAAUUGAAAAUUUUUAAUAAUAUUUGGAUUGAAUUCUUAUUAAUAAUAGAUCGUCAAAGAUUCGGAAGAAAAAUGAUUUAUUUUACACUGGAAAAUGUUUUAAAUAUAAAUAAAAAAUUAUUCGAUAAUAAAAAUUAGGAAAAAAAAAGAAUUUAUUGUUUAAAAGCUUAUUUUUAUAUUGUAACAAGUAAGAUAUAUGAUCUUUUAAAAGACACUUUAUAUUUUCAAGUAGAAAAGUGAAUCGAAUUCGUAAUGCGCGCCGUUGUGUGCGCAAGGAUUCUUCGACGGAUGGAUCAACAGUCACCCCAUACAGAUGGUCUCCCUCGUAGAAAGAGGCUCUACCAUUACGCUCUAGCCGAGAUAGGUAUCGAUUCAAAUUUCUAUCUCGCCUUCGAUCGAAUCGCGUUCCCAAAAAUUUUCUUUACAUCGUUCCGUUCAUUUCGAUUUAACGUUCCCGAAAAUUAAUUAAAAUUAUUGCAAUCGAAUUUUUUUUUUUCAGAAGAAGAGGCGUGGUACAGUAUGUAGUUUGAUCUUAUAAUAGAAUCGAUAGUAGAUCGACUAACUUUUCUAUUCGGUUCGUGGCAUAUUACUGUUUGUUUAUUUUAAGUCCCAGGCGUAUCUUGUUUCGGAACCAGACCCAGCUGACCGCAGCCUGGCAUCGUUUUCUCGUUUUAUUCUCUUGCGUUACGCAUCGACCUGGUGUCGGUGGUGCGAAUUAAGCGAGAAAAAUCGACGCCGUGAAGCUGAUGCACGCAAUUUCCAGAACGAUCGAUUCGAUUUUUUGGAAUAACAAUAUUAAUCUGACAAUAUUCUAGGCAAUUAAAUUUAUAUAUUUUUAUGCAAUUCUAUCUCUUCUUUUUAGCAAUUCAUGAUAGAAAUUUGGAGAAUUUGAAUCUUUUGUAAACUUAAUACAUGAGAAUUUUUUAAUUUAUGAGAAAGAAUUUGAAAGGAUCGGAAAAGAAAUUUGAUAAAAUUGUUUUGACCGAAAAGAAAUUUGAUAUAGUUGUUUUAACCGAAAAGGAUAAUGAAGUUAAAUCUUUAGCAACAGUUUUAGACGCGCCAAGAAACCACGCUGCUAGCCUUGCAUCGAAAUCCCCAAGCCACCCCAACGCGAAGAAAGAAGCGAUGCAGUCACAUAUUCCUCUCACGGAUUUCUUUUUCUAUAUUAAAUUUUACGUAUAAAAAAUAUAAAUUCGAAAAGUUAAAAUUGAAUUAAAAAUAAAAUUCGAAUUAAAAAAAAUUAAUUUACCGGAAAUAAUUAUCAUUCUGAUUAAUGUGAAUUUAAAUUUUAUAUAUUUAUUGUUAAUUUAGAAACUUUUUCAAUAUAAAUUUCAAAAUAAAAAUAAAAUAAAAAUUUCUCAUAAAAAAAAAUAUAUAUAUGUGUGUAUAUAUAAAGAUUAUCAAAUAUCGUAUUAAUUUGAAAUGAGAAAAAAAAUUAUUGGUCCAUCAUUAUGAAACAAUUAAAAAGUCAUCAUAUCAUC